UUAAUAUUUGUUUUUUACUGAAGAUACUGCUACUACAAAGGGUUUGGUAUGUCCACCGGCGGGCAAGCCCGCCGAGGAAACAAUGGUGCUCAUAAACAAAGGGUGCUAUCUCAAUGGGGACGAAUCCCCACGGUAAUGAUCCUUCCGCAGGUUCACCUACGGAAA
rnacentral:misc_RNA from 1 species